GACAGCCAGGAUGUUGGCUUAGAAGCAGCCAUCAUUUAAAGAAAGCGUAAUAGCUCACUGGUCGAGUCGGCCUGCGCGGAAGAUGUAACGGGGCUAAACCAUGCACCGAAGCUGCGGCAGCGACACUGUGUGUUGUUGGGUAGGGGAGCGUUCUGUAAGCCUGUGAAGGUGUGCUGUGAGGCAUGCUGGAGGUAUCAGAAGUGCGAAUGCUGACAUAAGUAACGAUAAAGCGGGUGAAAAGCCCGCUCGCCGGAAG
rnacentral:rRNA from 1 species